rnacentral:rRNA from 1 species
AAACCAGCACCUCAAGUGGUCAGGAUGAUUAUUGGGCCUAAAGCAUCCGUAGCCGGCUCUGUAAGUUUUCGGUUAAAUCUGUACGCUCAACGUACAGGCUGCCGGGAAUACUGCAGAGCUAGGGAGUGGGAGAGGUAGACGGUACUCGGGAGGAAGGGGUAAAAUCCUUUGAUCUCUCGAUGACCACCUGUGGCGAAGGCGGUCUACCAGAACACGUUCGACGGUGAGGGAUGAAAGCUGCGGGAGCAAACCGGAUUAGAAACCCGUGUAGUCC